rnacentral:lncRNA from 1 species
AAGAAAGUGGCAUUUAGAGCCUAUUUUAAGAGGGCACAUUUAUAUACUACCAAUCAGAGAGACCUCAAAAAGGAGUUGGAGUUUAUAUGUGAAAUUGGAGGGAGGCGUGGACACAGGUGCGGGUUCAUGGGGCAAGUGCAGAGGGGUGUUGAACAUGACAUGUGCGCCAAAGGAUCUACCAGCUUAGAUUCAGAAGGCGGAGCAGAGAAUGAUAGAUGUGUGCUGAUGCCAUUGAAAGUUGCAAACCGCGCCACAACGAAGACCAUCUUAAACAAGAUUGGGAUGAGGCCAGUGAUGUAUGGAGCGCCCGCCGUCUUCGGUGGCAUAAGAGGCGAGAGGUCGGGGUCAAGAGUCAGGA